rnacentral:rRNA from 1 species
CGGAUCGUAGGCUGAAACUCGCCUACAUGAAGCUGGAGUUACUAGUAAUCGCAGAUCAGAAUGCUGCGGUGAAUGCGUUCCCGGGUCUUGUACACACCGCCCGUCACACCACGGAAGUUGGGGGCGCCCGAAGCCACUUAGCUAACCCUUUGGGAAGCGAGUGUCGAAGGUGAAAUCAAUAACGUGGGGUGAAGUCGUAACAAGGUAUC